CUUGUACUCCCUCCGUCCGAAAAUACUUGUCAUUGAAAUGGAUGUAUCUAGAUGUAUUUUAGUUCUAGACACAUCCAUUUUGAUGACAAGUAAUUUCGGACGGAGGGAGUACUUG
rfam:Triticum aestivum genome assembly, contig: Triticum_aestivum_CS42_TGACv1_scaffold_346154_4DL